AGAGUCCAUCAGAAAGAUCAUGAGUUUUAAUGUCACUGCUCCCACCUGGAGUAUAAUAAGGAGUUUGCAAUGAGUCAUGCAAGCUGACUCAAAAAUCAAAGAAGUACCUGCAGCAGCAGCUGUACUUUUUGCUCCAGCAACUUAAUAAAAUUUCUACCAUAUGCACAGCAUCGUCCUAAUAACGAGGAAAUUGAAUAAUGUGUAAAAAAAUACAUUGAAAAAUCAUUGAUUGUAUCAUUGUAUUACUGGGAAAUGCCUGAAUAGGUAUCAUAGUUGGUGCUGAUCCGCCUGAGAUCAGCUCAAUCUAAAUAUGCACACAAUUCCUUUGCUCUCUUUUAUAUAAACAGCCAUCCUUAAGUCUCAUCUGUGUGCUUCCCAGAGAAAAUUGACAAUAAAUAGCUAUUCUAAUUCUCUGAGAUUCAUCUCCUUUUAUUUUAGUUAUCUGUAAGGUGGGUGUCAAGUUCUCAGAUCCCAAUUCCUUUUAUAGUCUCUAGAGAGAAAGGGGCACUUUGAGAGGCAUUGUCUACUUCACUCUUAAGUGGAUGCAUCCUUUUAGAGCGACUGCUUUACUGUCUGUGAUUCCAUCUGGCAUAAUCUCUGAAUCACCUUGCAUCUCUCUGUAAUCUCUUGUUGAGAUUGUUUACUUCUGUAGCCAGAGACCAUCUUUUGUCUUGUGUUGAUAGAGGCAUUAGCUGAAUGGGAGUAAAACUGACGAUCUGCAUGUUCCAGUCAUGGGCAUAAGAACAAUAAAAGCACAAAGUACUGAAUAUACUUCCAGAUAAUUACACAUCUCUUACCCUGAUGUCAUCCAGUAAUUUAAGGAUGCUUUGAUUUUCCGGAUGUAAGAUGUACAUGUGGUUUGAAAAGAUGCAGAAUUCAAACAGCCAAUGCUCCUAGUCCUUUGUUCGUAUGGCAUAGCCACUAGAACAGCAAAUCUGUGAGUGGGGUGAGGGGCCUUACUUAUCAUCUGAUCUACUAUGGUAGAUGAAAAUAGCUGUAAGGUAGGACAACCUGAAACUCAGAAGGGAAAUAGUGGCAUAAAAGAGUUUUUAAUUUUUCUGGGUAGAUUGUAACAACUAAUCAUAUGUCACUCUGGUUAAAUAAUGAAAAAAAGUUUUUUCUCCUCCAGGAAAUUUGAAUUUUUAGCCUGUCCAACAGAAGUUUUAUGAGCACGCUUUAAGUACAUUAAAAUGCAUUUCAGCAAUCUCUAUCCAAUAUUAUAUUCAGUCACUCAUUUUAUUUAUAUAGUGUUCUCCAUACAAGUGCCACAGAGAGUUUGACUGCAAAGCACACUUAAUUAAAAACACAGCUAAGUAAAUAGGAUUGGGUUUUAUAAACCACAAGACACCUAUCAUUUUAAUCACACAUGGAAAUGUAGUCCAUACACAAGAGGCAAAGGUUGCUAUCCAGAGAAACUGCAAAAACACCCCUGCUUUUAUUUUUACUGAGUUUCAACAGAGAUACUAAAAAUAUAUAUAUAUUUCAUGUACAAUAUAGAGUGUUGAACAUCUAGUGCUUAAUGUUCAAAUAACUAAAUACUGAAAAAUAAUUUCAUGUGUGUUAUAAAACAGGCUGUAAAAGUGGAGGGUUAAAGCCAAAUGUCUGUUCCUCUUUCAGACAAAAAAAAAAGCCUUUAAAAAAAUGUUCUCUUCAGCCUAGAAUCUUCAUCAGCACCGUAAUAUUGCCUUCAACUUUAUUUCUACGCAUAUGAAUUAUGUUUGUGUUUUUAUCAUUCUGCUACAUCUCUGGAUAUUAUAUUUAUGUAUUCAGCGUGAUGUACAAGAAAUAAGCCAGAUAAUUAAAAAUAAGUUUAACUGCAAAUACAGAUAAUGUACAUUUAUUAUGCUAUAAUAAGAAGACUGAGAGUCUAUGUAAAGGUUUGUAUAACGUGGUUGUGUCUUGGAUGUUUAGCUGUCACUUCUGCACUGUGAGAUACUUGCCAAGGCUUUUAUGCCUGUGCAGACUGCCACUGUCACGUCUGUGACUCCAGAGAGCUCCAUGCUAGCGGGCUUUAUGGCAGGACUUUGUGUCUUCAGCUGUAGAUCUGCUUAGAAUAGCAAGUAUCUCACAGCAAGAUCAUGCGCACUUUAACCACUGUAGCCCUGAUCCUAAGAAAAGCCAGCAUGCUAGGAAUAAAAAAUAAGCAAAAAGUGCAUGGUUGUGAUACUUAUUAAUGUUUCAUGAUAAGAUUGACAUUUUUGACUGUAAAUGACAACACUUGCAAACAAAACAUAGACCCCCUAUCUAUGAAAGGAAAAAUAUGGAAAUUGCUUAUUAAAUUGCUAUUUGAAAGGUGAAUGGAAAGCUCAGUGCGUUUGCACUUGACAGCUAUUGUUGUUGUCAUGAAAUCAUUUUGACAUUUAAAUGUCAAAAAUAUUUAUAUGGAUUUGCUAUUCUUGCAAGAUUUUGAUUGUCUUUGAUCAUUCUGGUAUUUGGGGUUUUGUCUUUCAAUGUUUUAAUUUCACUGUGGAUUUAGGUCUGAGCAGUGCACUAAGUCCACUGUUAACCCUAUAUAAUUUGCAGUGCAUUGGGCAAAAGGUGAUUCCUGCAACUUCUUUCCUAGCAUACACUUUAUAGUUGCUUCCUGCUUUCUGCCCUGUCUUCUUUUGCAAAAUGUUUCUUGCCUUCUCCUCUAUUUCCAUGACUUUUGUCUUCUAAAUAAAAUGUAAGACUUGUGUUGAGAGACCUGGUUGUCCCACUCUACACUCAGCUGGUGCUGUCUUACCUCAGGUAAUGUUUGCACUUUGCAGCACCUCAGUAUGAGGAGGACAUCAAACCAUUAGUGUCCAGAGGAGGGUGACCAAGACAGUGAAAGCCUCAGGGGCAAGACUCACGCGGAGCAACUGAGGUGACUUUGUUUAUUCAGCCUGGAGAAGGGAAGACUCAGAGGUGACCUGAUUGGCAUCCACACCUUCCUCAAGUGCAGGCAUCCACUCUAUAACUCCAGGAAGCACAAAACCCUCAGAAGUCCAGCUGCUGUUGGAUAUGCUUCAAAAGCUUUUUGCGUAAGCUCGCAGCCCAGAAGGCCAAACAUAUCCUAGGCUGCAUCAAAAAAAGCGUGGCCUGCAGGUUGAGUACCAACAGAACAUUAAAGCAACACAUCUCUGAUUAUGUCGGUGAAUGAAUGGUGCUGCACUUGAAAUUUCAGUUUCACAAAGACCAAAGCCCAUAAAAUUACCAAG